rnacentral:rRNA from 1 species
CCUACGGGUGGCUGCAGUGGGGAAUAUUGGACAAUGGGCGAAAGCCUGAUCCAGCCAUGCCGCGUGUGUGAAGAAGGCCUUCGGGUUGUAAAGCACUUUCAGUGGGGAAGAAAGCCUUGGGGCUAAUACCCUCGAGGAAGGACAUCACCCACAGAAGAAGCACCGGCUAACUCCGUGCCAGCAGCCGCGGUAAUACGGAGGGUGCGAGCGUUAAUCGGAAUUACUGGGCGUAAAGCGCGCGUAGGCGGUCUGAUAAGCCGGUUGUGAAAGCCCCGGGCUCAACCUGGGAACGGCAUCCGGAACUGUCAGGCUAGAGUGCAGGAGAGGAAGGUAGAAUUCCCGGUGUAGCGGUGAAAUGCGUAGAGAUCGGGAGGAAUACCAGUGGCGAAGGCGGCCUUCUGGACUGACACUGACGCUGAGGUGCGAAAGCGUGGGUAGCAAACAGGAUUAGAUACCCUGAGUC